GUUUGUUGAAAAUAACCCCCGGCUCUGGCCAUAGUCGCGGGUAAGAUUCGGCGCCUAGAGUGUCUGGGGGCCUUAGCUCACUGCCCACUGCCGGUGUGGAAAGGUGAAACCCCGGCCCCGACAGCC
ensembl:snoRNA